rnacentral:misc_RNA from 1 species
GAUGAAGAACGCAGCGAAAUGCGAUAAGUAAUGUGAAUUGCAGAAUUCAGUGAAUCAUCGAAUCUUUGAACGCACAUUGCGCCCGCCAGUAUUCUGGCGGGCAUGCCUGUUCGAGCGUCAUUUCAACCAUCAAGCCCCCGGGCUUGUGUUGGGGACCUGCGGCUGCCGCAGGCCCUGAAAAGCAGUGGCGGGCUCGCUGUCACACCGAGCGUAGUAGAUUUUAUCUCGCUCAGGGCGUGCUGCGGGUUCCGGCCGUUAAACCACCUUCAUACCCCACGGUUGACCUCGGAUCAGGUAGGAAGACCCGCUGAAAUUAAGCAUAUCAAUAAGCGGAGGA